GGUUGAUCCUGCCAGUAGUCAUAUGCUUGUCUCAAAGAUUAAGCCAUGCAUGUCUAAGUAUAAACCUUUAUACGGUGAAACUGCGAAUGGCUCAUUAAAUCAGUUAUAGUUUAUUUGAUGGUAAACCUUUACUCGGAUAACCGUAGUAAUUCUAGAGCUAAUACGUGCGUAAAUCCCGACUUAACGAAGGGACGUAUUUAUUAGAUAAAAGGCCAGCCGGGCUUGCCCGACCCUAGGCGAAUCAUGAUAACUUCACGAAUCGCAUGGCUUCAUGCCAGCGAUGUUUCAUUCAA
rnacentral:rRNA from 1 species